AUGGCUACCACUAGCCACAUAGCUCCACUGAUUCCUGGUCUCGUCUUUUGCUUCCCUCGGCCCCCGCCCACUCCCAGACACAGGCUGAGACAAGGCUUGCAGCCCGGCAGGCCUGGGUUAGCACUCAGGCGCCUGCCACCCCCUAAUCAUCACUCUGGGUAAAUGAUUCUCCUCGCUGAGCCUCAGUUUCCUUCUCUGUAAAAGGUACAGUCAACCUCAAAGGCAGUUUAGUAAUGAGAUGGCAGAAGAAAAAACCCUGUUCCUGUCUCCCUGUCACUCUGCACACAGUUCCUCCAUGCAGCGGGGCUUCAUGGCUGUACCUGUGGUGCGGUCACCUUCAGAAGGGCCCUGCGCGCGGUCAGUGCUGUGCUGUUGCUCUUGACAUCUUUUGUGAUGUCUGAACAAGGCGCCCUGCACUUUCAUUUGGGACUGGGCUCUCAAAAUUCUGCAGCGUGCCUGGUCUGUCUUCAGCUCUUGGCUCCGCUGGUCCUUCUCAUGCCCUGCAACCCUCUGCGCCUUCUCUACAGACGCGUUCAAGGGCUCCAACGCCAGCCAGGGAGAUGGCAUUGCAAUGCAGAGGCUUAGGAGGCCUGGGCCUGUCGUGCUCUGCUGGUCAGAAGGGAGGUCGGGGGCGGAGGGGGGGAUGUGGUAAUAACCCAGGGAAAGAGAGGGAGGGCCAGCCCAGGAGCCCUGGUGGGUGAAGUGUGAGGGAGCUAGGGGUGAGCGCAUGGGCAGGGGAAUGGAAGAGGGGACAAGGCAGGAGGUGCGC
rnacentral:lncRNA from 1 species